rnacentral:tRNA from 19 species
AGCAGUUUGGCGCAGCGGAAGCGCGGUAUGUUCCCUCAACUCCACAACUCACCAUCACACUCACUGAUUCAUUCAAUAGCCGGGCUCAUAACCCGGAGGUCUCAGGAUCGAAACCUGAAACUGCUA